rnacentral:rRNA from 1 species
UACGGAGGGUGCAAGCGUUAUCCGGAUUCACUGGGUUUAAAGGGUGCGUAGGUGGGUUGAUAAGUCAGUGGUGAAAUCCCCGAGCUUAACUUGGGAACUGCCAUUGAUACUAUUGAUCUUGAAUACCGUGGAGGUCAGCGGAAUAUGUCAUGUAGCGGUGAAAUGCUUAGAUAUGACAUAGAACACCAAUUGCGAAGGCAGCUGGCUACGCGAAUAUUGACACUGAUGCACGAAAGCGUGGGGACCAAACAGG